AUAUGGCAUGAUAGUCAUGCUUGCACAAUCGGCGAGUAAUUCUAAAAAUGGUCUAAUUAUUCAUGUUAUCUCAAUAAAGUAAACUGCAGCGCACUGCAGAAACUGUCAUGAAGAGCUUCCAAACUGCCACAACUGCUGUAUCGGACCGCUGGAUUAAAUGGAAUAACAGUAACCAAAGUUGUAUCAUUCUCAAUGUCGAUGGCAGCUGCCUUGGCACACCUAUCCGAGCUUGGCUUUGGAGGAAUAAUACGCAACAAUGCGGGACUUUUUCUGAAGGCUUUUUCCGGAUUUAUACAAGACUCUACGUGCAUCCUGCACGCUGAACUCACAGCCAUUUUCCACGGCCUCACACUCGCAGCAAGCAUGGGCAUUGAAGAAUUAGCCUGUUUUUCGGAUUCUCAGAUUGCCAUCAGCCUCAUUACAGCCGCAAUACCCAGAUUCCAUGCCUAUGCAGUGCUCAUUCAAGAUAUCAAGGAGAUAUUAGCUUCAAACAAUUUCACUAUCCUUCAUACUCUUAGGGAAGGAAAUCAUUGUGCCGACUUCAUGGCUAAGCUUGGCGCCUCGUCCACUGAAGAAUUCACGGAGCACCACAAUCCCCCUCAUGAUCUUAUUGUCAAGAUUAAAGAUGACGCUGUGGGAACUUGCUUCCUAAGAACUUAAUUUCUCUCUUGUUUUUUUUCUUUGUUUCUUUUACCAUUGUAACCAAAAAAAUAAAGUAACAUAAUCAUAAUUGAUCCCCAAAGGUGGGUUCUAAGCUAAAGGAACUCACCUUAAUCCUUUAAAAUGGCAUAGGCUCGUCUCACUUUUGCAUUUCAAACAUUUAUCAACUUCACGCUCAACCAUAAGGGCAUCCAUAAUUAACCUUAUUUGAAUUAAACUCUUACUAGAAUAAGCUUCCCACUUGAGAUUCCACUUCAAACCUUGAACUUCUUGGUCUAAUCACUACAAGGGACACUCUUAAACAAUUUUCAUGAUGAUUUCAUGAAGAAUUAAUGGUUUUUGAUGGAUUGGGUGAGGAGAGGAAGAGAAGACGUGAGCUAGAGAGGAAGAGAGAAGAAAAAUCUGAAAUUUGG
rnacentral:lncRNA from 1 species